rnacentral:tRNA from 2 species
GCGCGCUUAGCUCAGUUGGCAGAGCAACGCAUUUACACUGCGAAGGUCGGGGGUUCGAAUCCCUCAGCGCGCACCA